UUGUAGACAGAAAUGUUAUAAAUAUAUAUAAUUCUACUGUAACUUAUUUCGCUUUCUAUUCUUGCAGAUUAGAUAGUACUACAAAGUCAAUUUAAAGAGUUUUAAGUACACUGUAAAAAUGCAAAAAUUCAGCAUAACUGGGCUAAAAUAAGUUUUAAAUAGUAACCACAGAGAAUCUACACAUCAAUCCAUAUUUAUAACCAACUAUAGAAGAAAUAAUUCUCUCUAGAAAGUGCCUAUUUUAAAUAAAUAUAUAAAAUGCAUUUACAUGUGUUUCUAAAAUUAUCCUAUAAUGUUCCACAAAUGGAAUCAACAUGGAAAAUAAUUUUUCAUGGUUAUUUGUCCAUAAAUAAAAGCACCAAAGAAAACGUGGAUAAAGUUAAAAUAAGUACCAUUUUAUUGAAGGGUAAGUAAUUUACAGGCAAACCCAACAUGAAUUUCCUUUCUUCAUGUUUCCAGGAGCCGCCUGGCUGCACAGGAUGUAGAGAAGGACAGGAAGUGAGAGCACAGAGGUCGGAGUCUCAGUCUCAGCUCACCAACCCUGUCUGAAGCUGAGGCAGCAAAGAGACGUACAGUUUCCCUUCAGCCACCAGCUAGAUGUGUAAGUUUGGUGUCACUUAAUCUUCCUGGGACUUAAAUUCUCUCAUCUGGAAAAAGCAUGGGGAUGAGGUUCUAGGUCUCAAGACUGCUCUAUAUGCACGCCCAAGUGUGGAGCAAUUCCACAACUUUCCCAAAGUCACUGGGACCUAGCUGCCUAUUACUCAUUAAAGGAUGUUUGCCAGAGCCCUGGGAUUUCGCAGAAAUGCAUCAGGGUCAAGCCACAGGAGCAAGCGUGGCCCUGCUGCGCGGGCAGGGCUGUCCCCCACCAGGCAGCUCCACUUCUGAUGUUUUACAAACUAGGAGACUAGUAAGAUGUCAUCUGGCGGCAAGAGUUUUGCUGAUUUUUAACCACUGGUCUAGAAAAUCACACUUUACUUCUAAAGUGCAUUCUGUGUUUCAGAGUUUCUAAUACCUGGAGAAACAAAGUUAAAGAUAACACUCUAUACCUACAGUCCUGACCUGGAGACAGGUUUUCACCACGGAUGGAAAUAGGAUGUUAUAAGCUACGUUAAAGCAGACCUAACCGCAACAGCUCGUCCCGAGCGCUCUCGCUGACUGCGCGUUUACUGCGCUGGGCCAGAUGCUCCCAGAGGCGCGGCCAGCCAAGACUCCGGUGACCUGAGGCUGGAAGGACAAGUUUUUCAUUGUUUUCCUGUACAGAAAGUGGCAAGGGCAGCUUUGAGGGAUGACAAGUUCUAACAACGUUGCCCUGUGUGGAGAGACCUGAGUGCUUUGUAAACACUAUGUGAUAAAGUAAAGGUUCAAGGAAACGGUGAACUGAAGGUUGGUCAAAUCUCCAAAGAAACAAAAGGGAGAAAAGGAAAAGAGCCAGAAAAGGAAGGAAAGGAGAGCCUGCUGUCAGCCUAGCUGCACCCGUCCAGCCCCACGGGUCCGGCAGCAGCACUGCAGGCACUGCAGGGUCCGGCAGAAACUUCCGCUCUAAUGUGGAGCCUGCAUGCGGCUCAAAAGCAGCACUAGUGACCACACUCCUUCAAGAGGUCAACACCGACACUCGCUGCUGCCUUCCUUGUGCUCCUCUGAACAGGAGAGCAACCAUGGGGGGAUCACCGCCACACCUGGAGUCCUAGGGUGGGCAGUAACCACGCAGUCUGCUUCUAUCAAGGUUGUUUUCCUCUGUGAUUACAUCUUAAAAAUGAGAUAUAUUGAUUAAGCUUUAAGAAUAUACAGUAAUAGUAGCUGUAAAUGAUAAGCUACUUUUAAUAAAAACUAGAAACCAAAUUUAAUAUUUAUGUGAAUUAUCAGUAUAACAAUGACUUGGUCUCAAAAUUAUACAGCCUGAAUCAAAGAACAGAUUGACUCCAAAAACAAUAUUUACCAUAAAAACAAUUUCCAUAAAGCAAAUCUUGCAUGCUCUAAUAUUCCAAGUGAAACAUGAACAAGGGGAAAAUAAUAUAGGUUGAGUCAAAAACCUCUUAUUUAAAAAAAAAAGACAGUCACUAAAAUGACACACUAGGCACUGUAAGGCCAAGUGGCCGACGGUUCCUAAGGAGCUGUGUCAGCGCCUUGCCAUGCCUCGGUACGCCACGGGCGGGGCCGCUCUGCUGCUCCCAGCCUCAGCACACUAAGCCAUGCUCCAUCCAGCACGCUGGGCCAGUGGUCUUCUCAUCUCAGUCAGAGGGUCCAGAACUGAUUCCUUUUUAACUCAGUAUUUAUGUGUAUUGUACAACAGAGGUGCAUUUGCUCUCACGUCUUCCCAUUACAUACCACAGCUUAAAAUGCAAAUUUCAGCAAAAUUCUUUCAUUUGAGACUAAAUGGUUCCACGAGAUGAAUGUUUCCAAGUCAUUUAAAUAUGGUUUUAUUGUGGUAUGUAUAACAACCCCCAUAUACCUAUAUUAGUAUAGUUUCCUCUCUCCUUUAAUAGGUAUCACCACCAGAAAAAAAAAUUGUUGACAUAACUUCUAGCUACUUAGGUAAAUGAAAAAACAGGAUUCAAAGAAUCAAAUGAACAAAAACAUGAGGCUACAAAUGAACAUAACAUUUAGUCAGUUAUCAUACCUGAAUAUCCCCAGAGAAGCUGUUGUGCUAGAACAUAAUUAAAUCCGUUCUUAGAAAAAGCCAGAAUUGUCAUAAUUUUUACAUGACAGCUACAGAAAUUAUUCUAUAUCUUAAAAUAACACUGUUUGGAGAAUCUUUACACAUCAUCAUGUAAAAGAAAAAUCAUAAACACAACUCCAAAUAUAGCUGAAUAUACAUUUAAGAUUUAAAGAUGUAUUUCAAUGCAAACUAAAUCCAAACUACACAAGGGUGGGAAAUCUUAGUUCAGAACAAAAGCAAAGAAGAAAGGAGUAUACACUUUAUAUGCAUAAACUACAUUUCAACAACAUAAAUAAAGUCAUUUCCUAAACUCCAAAUGGGCUUUCUAUAUAGGCUAUCAUCAUGUAACAUUCAGAUAUUCUAGAUAAGAAUUAAGAAAGGCAAGACAUCUGAUUUUUUAAAAGUUUUGGACCAUGUCCACAAAGUAAGUAUACAAUUAAUUCUGACUUUAUGAUAAAGAAAGGGAGGUUUACAUUUCCAUGGCUUGUUCAUGGGACCACCAAUAACAAACUUCAAAGAAUUGCUCAUGGACAUCUAACCCCUCCUCUGCCUAAAGCAAGCCAUUUAUUGGAUAAGUACAUCUCCACAUCUCUGAGAGAUGUCUGCACACUUGGGUACCUCGGGCUAACCUUACCAAAGGAAGUUAAGCUCCUCCAAUCUUAACAUCCUUCCAAUUACUUUAGAGGCAUUUUGUCAGUCAGUGAAGAUUGACUCAGUGCUAGAGAUACAGAAAGGACCACGCAGACAUGGUCCCAGACCUCGUCUUGCAGUCUAAGGGGAAGGCAGGCAUUAGAUAAAUUAUCGUCAGUGAUUACACAGGGAUGAGUCUGCGAGCGCUCUGAGGAGCUCAGUGCUCUGUUCACACACAGGGCUGCGUGCACAACGAGCACGGGCAGCGAGAGGACGGGACGGCAAAGGAAACCAUGCGCAGCACAACUUAGGGAGGAUAAGAACGCGUGGGCUUCCAAACAUGAGAAAGACCAAGGGGGAUACGGAAGGAGGUUAUUAACAACAAUCAUAAUAACAGCAAACACUGAUAUACCCUCUCCACGUACCAGGCAUCUUUACAACACCCAGAAGAUGCAGCCAGAUAAUAAGAAGGCUCACAGGAAAUCUUAAGGAUUUUGGCUGUUGUUCCAAGGAUAACGGGGAAGCCUUUGAAAGAUUUUCAGAUAGGGAGUGGGAAAAUAAUAUUUUAGAAAGAUAAUCCUAGCAGUACUGUACUGUAUUAACUACAGAAGCAAGAAGAGGUGUGGGGAGAUUUUCGACGUUAUUUCCACAUUCCAGGUAAGAAACGAAGGUGGCCUGAAUGACGGUGAGGGUGGAGUUGGGAGGGAGAAAGACCGUAAACAUGGCCCUUGUGUGCAACAAGUAGCUGUGGAAGCACAAACCCACAUCCUCGUGGCAAAGCCUGCCCAAAAUCUUGAGAAUACUGCUGAUCUAUACAUCUGAGGCUGCCACCUAAAAGUGCAACUUUUUCUGAAGAUUUCUACAUACAUAUAUGAGAUGCCAUUAUCUCUUAAAUGAAUACUGUAAAUCCUCACAAAGUGUGUCAAAGUGGACAGUGUCGUAUGCUCUCCAUCCAGACACGAAAUUUGCAGCCUUUCCCCUGACCAUUUGAGACAGAACACGGGCCACCUCCUCUGUGAGGUCCCCCUGCCCUGCCCCCGCCUCUACCAACUCUCUUCUCUGUAUCUGAUGGAGGAUCCAUCAUGCUAAAUGACAGUAUUAUUUACAUUGCUGUCCCCGCUCAGCUGUGAGCUCUUUCAGUUUUAUUCAUCUUUAUAUUAUUUCCAUCUAGCACCAUGCCUGGUACAUAGGGGAAAUUCAAACAAAUGUUUAUUGAAGAGUGUCUGGUCAUGAAAUGGAACAAAGCAUGAGGCUAAAUGUAAUAAAUAAGAAUGAAAAAAAUUUAAAUGUAAAUAAGAUCUUGGUGCCAACCCAUUAGGCAUUCCUACCAUUUGACUGAAUCGAUUGCUUUUUAUCUAUAUAUGUCCUCUAAAACCCAGUUACCUGCUCUUCUAACUAUUCAACAAUUUCUGACAGCCACCUAUUUACUCACGCAACUUACUACAGAAAUAAUCUAGACCUGGAAAUAGAAAAAAAAUAGAGAAUCGUAGCUCCAAUUCUGCAACUCAAGCAAGUCACUUAAAUCCUUCAAACUCUUUCAGCUUCACUGUCUCCAUCUCUCAAAUGAAGAUGAUAACACGGGCUCUACUAUCUCACUAUCAUAGAAAACAAUUAAGACAAGAGAAGACACAGCUGUCCCUCAGCAUCCGCCGGGCAUUGGUUCUAGGACCCCGCAGAUGCCAAAAUCCCGGGAUGCUCAAGUCCUUUACACAAAAUGGCAUAGUAUUUGCAUAUAACCUACACACAUCCUCCCAUAUACUUUAAAUCAUCUCUAGAUUAUUUAUAAUACCUAAUGCAAUGUAAACGCUAUGUAAACAGUUGUUAUACUGUAUUGUUUAGGGAAGAACGACAUGCUGAAUAAAGAUGCAACCACCGUAGGUCUUUCAACCUGUGGUUGGUUGAAUCUGCAGAUGCGGACCCAUGGACACGGAGGGCUGACUAUACUUACUUGAAAAAGAUACUAAAUCACAGGCACAACACCAGGGAUCUGCCUUUUCAUCUUGGUACUCCUGUCCCCCCAACACCAUCCCCACCCUGCCCCGCAUAUGGAAGCAUUAACAUGUCGAAGCAAAGUGUCACCAGGUACUGGGAAUACAAAAAUAAAAUAAUAAGCACCCCGCUCUCAAGGAUUUUCUAGUGUAGCACAGUAAAAAUAUGAUUGCAGUAAGGCAAAGAGAAUUAAGUGGACUGUGUACUGGGCUCCACAAGCAAAGAAGAGGCAUCUACGCCAGAUUUGCCCGGCAGGGGCAGGGGUGUGGAGACACACAUGAAAGGAAGCCUCUUGGAGGAGACUUGUGGGCUGAAUACUAAAAGACGAAUCAAAGUUAGCAAGGCAAAGUGGAGGACGGAAAGAGUAUUCUAAGCAAAAGGAACACCAUGUACAAAAAUACAGAUAUGAGAAGACUUUCAUUCCACCCACCUUGAAGGAGGCACUGUGCCACACAGCGGUGACAAAUCUCACAGGGCUCCACUCUCAUGAGAUGAAGGGAGCACUCAAGUUUAUCAAUCUACAAUGCUUGGGGUGAGAACAGAAGAGGGACACUGAAUGCAUCAAGGUCAAUGAGAUGGCAAGUUCACAAGCAUGGAAAGUCCACACUAACAAGACUAGAUCGAUCCUGAGAGAAUCAGCAUCCACUGGAGAACCUGCAGCAGGGGAGGGGCCUGAGCAGGUGGAGAGAGAGCAUGAGAGGGAGGGAAUCCUGAGAGAAUCAGCAUCCACUGGAGAACCUGCAGCAGGGGAGGGGCCUGAGCAGAUGGAGAGCGAGCAUGAGAGGGAGGGAAUCCUGAGAGAAUCAGCAUCCACUGGAGAACCUGCAGCAGGGGAGGGGCCUGAGCAGAUGGAGAGCGAGCAUGAGAGGGAGGGAAUCCACGAAAAGGCUGCAGUAAUAAUGUCACAAGACACACAGGACCGAUACACCAACAGUGGCAGUGCAAUAAGAGAAAGGGACCAAUAAACAAAGUUUAAUCAACAGAAGCUGGAAACUGUGGAGAACAAAGCUGAGAAACAGGAUUCAUUCUUGAGCAACUACAUGGGUAAUGGGUACCUUUCUCAAUAGGAUCGCUCAAAAGGAGAAACAGAUUUGGGGAAAAGAUGGGGACUGAAGCUGUGAAAAUGUUGAUUUUGAGAUACUUACAGAACUCCAAGUGCAAAAAAGAUAACAGUUGCCAUUUUAUCAGUAUUUCUUAUGUUCCAGGUAUUAUGUUAAAAUAUAUUCUGUAUACCUCAUCUGAUCUUCAGAGUAAUUCCGACUAUGAGUAAAACACUACAAAAGAGCUUUUCAAUAACCUAUGCUGCUAUGAUAAUGCAAAAUGGGAUAAAAUUCAAUUACUAGGUUGUCAUUGCCUGCCAUCCUCCACUCAACCCUUAUUCUCAUUUCAUUAACCUGGUAAUAAAGCAAUCUUGCAAUUUAUGUAAUUGAAUCUUGAGGGCCUCAGAUACACUCUUAGGGAAGGAUGUUACCGUAUUACCAUGUUAUUGAUGAGGAAACAGAGGCUCAGAGAGGUAGGGUAAUUUGUUCAAAGUCACACAAGAGAAGAGUCAAGUUUGAGCCCAGAUUUGUGUGACUACAACGUCCAGGUUUGUAACCACUACACUAUACUACCCCUCUUGAGACUGGGGUGGCAACUGAAGACACGGAGGUCAUUACAUGUGCAUGACAGUGGAUGCCUGGCAGUGAAGGAGCAGACUCAAAGGAAGUAA